CCCGGUGGUUAUAGAGAGGGGGAAACACCUGUUCCCAUUCCGAACACAGAAGUUAAGCCCCUCAUCGCCGAUGAUACUGCACCGGUAACGGUGUGGGAAAGUAGGUCGCUGCCGGGA
rnacentral:rRNA from 2 species